rnacentral:rRNA from 1 species
CGCUAUCACUACCUACGGGGAGGCAGCAGUAGGGAAUCUUCCACAAUGGGCGCAAGCCUGAUGGAGCAACACCGCGUGAGUGAAGAAGGGUUUCGGCUCGUAAAGCUCUGUUGUUAAAGAAGAACACGUAUGAGAGUAACUGUUCAUACGUUGACGGUAUUUAACCAGAAAGUCACGGCUAACUACGUGCCAGCAGCCGCGGUAAUACGUAGGUGGCAAGCGUUAUCCGGAUUUAUUGGGCGUAAAGAGAGUGCAGGCGGUUUUCUAAGUCUGAUGUGAAAGCCUUCGGCUUAACCGGAGAAGUGCAUCGGAAACUGGAUAACUUGAGUGCAGAAGAGGGUAGUGGAACUCCAUGUGUAGCGGUGGAAUGCGUAGAUAUAUGGAAGAACACCAGUGGCGAAGGCGGCUACCUGGUCUGCAACUGACGCUGAGACUCGAAAGCAUGGGUAGCGAACAGGAUUAGAUACCCUGGUAG